rnacentral:rRNA from 1 species
CCUACGGGGGCUGCAGUGGGGAAUAUUGGACAAUGGGGGGAACCCUGAUCCAGCCAUGCCGCGUGUGUGAAGAAGGCCCUCGGGUUGUAAAGCACUUUCAGUGAGGAAGAACGCCUGGUGGUUAAUACCCAUCAGGAAAGACAUCACUCACAGAAGAAGCACCGGCUAACUCCGUGCCAGCAGCCGCGGUAAUACGGAGGGUGCGAGCGUUAAUCGGAAUUACUGGGCGUAAAGCGCGCGUAGGUGGCUUGAUAAGCCGGUUGUGAAAGCCCCGGGCUCAACCUGGGAACGGCAUCCGGAACUGUCAAGCUAGAGUGCAGGAGAGGAAGGUAGAAUUCCCGGUGUAGCGGUGAAAUGCGUAGAGAUCGGGAGGAAUACCAGUGGCGAAGGCGGCCUUCUGGACUGACACUGACACUGAGGUGCGAAAGCGUGGGUAGCAAACAGGAUUAGAUACCCCGGUAGUC